AUAGCAGCUAUUAAAUCUAGAGUGCUUAAUGGGAAUUUACAGAGGAGGCCCUGAGUCACCGAGCUCCUCAGAAGUGGUCCCCAGAGAGCUGAGCUCAGGCGUGGAUGCUGGCGGCGAUGAAUCUUGGGCCUGAUGAGGUGCUGUGGAACAUGUUUAUACUGUCAUCCCACCUCUGGACCUUUGUACAUGAUGCUGGAGGGGUCGGCACAUGUGGGUGGGGGACUCGAGGAAAUUCAAAACCAUAGGACUCUCAGUAUCUGAGGCAGACCUCCACGCGAUUAAUAGAGAACAUAGACAAAUACAAGAUAAUUGAGGUUCUGCCUAAGAUUAUCCUAUGACUUUCUAUCUCCAAGCCCUAAUAUGUAACCCUAGCUUUUGCAUAUACAUGUGGAUUCACCAAGGAG